UCUCAAAGAGAAGGUAUGAAUUCUAGCCCAAGUCAAGUAGGAGGUAAGUACUCCAUGGGGAAGCAAUCUGAUCAGUAGGCAUGGAACAAACAUUCCCUUCUAGAUUAUUUUGUUCAUGUAUGGCUCAGCUUCCAGUCUUGGUUGGGAAAACAUGAACAAACUGAAAAACUCAAAUGCUACAAGUCUUAUCAAUUUGGGGAGUGGGCUCAGGAUUCACAGAACCCAGGUUGGGUUGGGCACUUACACCAGGAAACCUUGUAAAUCGUGGGAAAAAACCAAAUAUGAUGAUGCAAAUGCAGAAUUUCACUGUAAAUAUCUUAAAUCCAAGCUGUAAGAGCUCCCUACUCUGUUACAGAUGAAUUAAGAUUGUUUGCUAAUUGUAUGACUAAGGG
rnacentral:lncRNA from 1 species